rnacentral:rRNA from 1 species
AUGGGGAGAUCGCCGUGCUGCGAGAAGGCGCACACCAACAAGGGCGCCUGGACCAAGGAAGAGGAUCAGCGGCUCAUCGCCCACAUCAAGGACCAUGGAGAAGGGUGCUGGAGAUCGCUCCCCAAAGCAGCAGGGUUGCUGCGUUGUGGAAAGAGCUGCCGGCUGCGGUGGAUCAACUACCUGAGGCCGGACCUUAAGCGCGGCAAUUUCUCCGACGAGGAGGACGAGCUCAUCAUCAAGCUUCACGAGUUCCUCGGAAACAAGUGGUCGCUGAUCGCCGGGAGGCUGCCGGGGAGGACGGACAACGAGAUCAAGAACUACUGGAACACGCACGUCAAGCGCAAGCUCCUCGCCCGCGGCGUCGACCCGCAGACCCACCGCCCGCUCAAUGCUGGCACCACCGCCGUGCAGGGGAUGCACACGCCUUCGUCCCCCGUCGUGGCGAGCGGCGCCAGCCCUCACCACCUCGCGGGCGGCUCCAGCUGCUCGCCCGAUGCGAGCGGCCACAGCAGCGACGCCGACGACAGCGUGUCCUUGCCGCCGUCACUGGCGGGGAACCUCGGCGUGGGCAUGAUCGACCUGAACCUGUCCAUAAGCCCGCCCUACCAGCCGCCGCUAAGCCGAAAAGCGGAUGGUGUUCUUAGGACGGGAUACUCGGAGAGGCAGAAGAUAUGCUUGUGCUUGAACCGGCUGGGGUUGCACGGCGGCGAGGGGUGCAGCUGUGAGAUUCGUUGA